UCAUUUCCAAGAGUUGACAGCAGAUGUGACCAUUAAAAAGUGAAUUCAACUUGUAAACACCCCCUUAAGAAGUACAGAGAGAGUUCUUUUGCUAUCUUUCACUUCCGACUUUUGGCAAGCACAUGGAAGGAAUAAACAAGGUGUGAAGACUGAAGAAGGAAAAUGAGUCCACAGGAGUUUCCUUGGGAAGAGAGCAGAAGAUUCUUCAAUUUCCAGAGGGGAGGAGAAACAUUAAAAAGGUUGAAGAAGCUGAAGUAGUGGCAGCGGUACCAGGGAGAAUAAGAGGUGACAGAAAUGGUUUGUGGCUAUGAAUUGCAGGGCAGGCAGAGGACACCAGUGACCUGAACAGUUUGGUACCUCCUGGCCAUUAGGCAGCUGAUCCCAAAAAUUCAUCUCUGCUCAAAGGGCAUGCACAGCCUGGCUUACCCAGCACAAGUGCAGGAACAGCAUGAGGAAAAUGGGAGGUGAGUGUAAGAAAUUACCUAAAUACAUAAUAAUAAAUGUAUUGCCAGCAGGUUUUGCAGCCUGUACUGAGCACCUUGAUCCUGGUUGCACUCUUCCCAGGCACCAACACCAUUAAAUUAGAGGGAGCUGAUUUAAGCAGUUUUUUAAAUAGUCAAAAAAUUUGAUGUAAAUGAUAAGGACCAUUUUAAUCUUGCUGCUGUUGCUCAGAAGGCAGAGGACUGGGCUGAAGCCAGAGCUUUUGAGGAACAGCCAGAUAGUGACAGGCAGAGCCACAGAAUGAUAAUAUGGCACCACCUCUGUUAAGGAAGAGUUAUUUGUCCAGCAGGGGGCUAGCUUUGGAGCAACAUCCCUGGAACCUCUGCAACACAAAUCGUAGGGAGUUCAUUCAUACUGCAAAAGAUUUCCUGCCCUUAUUUACCCUUCCACAUUCAUUACAUCUCUUCAUUUCAAAAGCCAUCAUGGGAGCACUCUGCCCAUGCUGGAAGGCUUGUCCUUCCCCUGCUUUGCUCUGUACCAAGAUGUUCUCUGUUCUGCUGCUGCUCAGUGCAUCUCCUGGCUCCCUGCCACUGAAGGAAAAUACAUCUGUUUAUGAGAUACAAACAGCUUUGUGUAAACCACAGCCACAAGGUGCCAAUUGCGUGUUCUCCCAGCCCAGCAGUGCCUCCUUCCCCCAGCACAGAACACUCUGUUAGCACAGCUCCAGGGGUGUGUUGCUAUUAGGUCAUGUCACCAGGGACUGGAGAGCACCAGACUAUGCCCUGUAUCUUAAAAAUCCAGAUGUGUGAUGAUUAUCUCAUGAUAGCCAUCAGAGGUCCUGUUGUAAUGAUAUUUCUAAUAAUUUAGCUUUCGGGAGUUCUUAGGCUGGGAUCAACCCCUGCUCAGAGCUGGAACAAAUUGUGUGCUCCAGGCUGGUGUCAGUGAAAGUCCUGGUGCUGCCUGCUCCCUGAAGAGAUGGAGCUGUUACAUUUUUCUGAGUCCACAUGGUGUAACAAGGUAAUUUCUAGUUGGGAGGAUGGAUAUCAAUGCUCAAACCACUAAUAUCACUAAAUACAGUUGCAUGAGGUUAAAUAAGAAUACCCUGUCAACCACACUCCCCUUUUUUAUUACCUGAUUAUAUAGUAAUAUGUUGUUAUAGUUCUUUCCUUAUAUUUCUUCUUUCUGCAUGUUGGUCAUCUUGGGGCUGCAGCUGGAACAGGAGUGGAAGCCCCUGACAAAAUUAAUCACCUCCCUCAGGCCAGACAUGGAUUUUGACCCAGAGGAACACUGACAUAAAGGAACCAAAGUACAAGUCUCUAUUGCAGGAACUAUUGCCAAGGAGAUGAUUAUUCAUUAACUCUGGGUAAGGAAAAACGGGCUUAGCAACAUCUAAGAUCUCUGGGGGGAGUCUCGACAUUAAUUUCCUGUCAAAUUCCUGUUGGUAUUCUGUGUAAGCAUUACUCCAAAUUAAUAAUGCAAAAUAACUAGAAAGUAGCAGAAACCCUAAGGCAAAUAUUGCAAUUUUUAGCCAGAAUGAGUUUAAUUGGUAUUAUUUUAUGAAUCCUUUGCCUCUGAAAUGUGAGCUGUUUCUGGUGCUGUUACCUGAAUAAUUGACUGUACUUUCUAGAGAAACUACAGCCAAAGGACAUUUUACCUCUCAAUUAGAAAUGGUGGAAUAAUAAUUGCUAAUAAUGUGUUUGAUUGAUUUUUUCACCAUCACUGUUGAGCAUAUUUUUUAUUAAUUAAUGUGUUCAUUAGUAGAUCAGUGUCAUAGAAUAUAAAUAAAUUAUUUGGGAUGCUUCCUCCCCAUCAGUCACUGAAUACAUUAUUCUUGACUAUUUCAAUUCAUUAAGCCAGCUGCAUUCCAUUAAGAAAACAAUAUAAACAAUAGUUCAUGGAAGGACUCUGUAAUGCUUUAAAAAUCCACAGGGAAUAUUUCUCUCAUAUCAACAUUUUUAUAGCUAUAAUAUUUUAACCUGGAAAUGCUGUGCCCUGGCUAAUUUGAGGAAAUCACCAGAACCUUUGGGAUAAACAACCCUGUGUGUGUGGAGCCCAGCUCUGCCUGGGACACAGAGGGGCUUGUGAGAGGGGAGGGAUGCUUGCAUUGGGGUGUGCAUGGGCUGAGGGGUCUAAAAUAAGCACUUGGCUCUAUGGGGCUGUGCUGAAGUGCUGCAGUGCAGCAGAACCUGAGCACAGCCUUUUCUGAGGCAAGAUUGUGGAAACUUGGUCGAUUAGGAAAUGCAGGAGGGCUGGUGCUGCUGUCUCUGCCUGCCCCAGAGCUGGACUUCAGCGUCCUUUUACAUUGAAAUUCCCCCUAAUAACUGUACCAAUUAAUGACUGUUUGGCAGUAAGAGUUAAAAGAUCAUGCUCAUUGCUUAAAUCUUGGGAGAAUGUCUCACCCUGGCAGCAGUUUCAUGGUACCCACCAAAGCACCCACUACCAUUUUUCCCACAAUUAAGUGGGAAACCUUUGAGCAUUUAACAUUAUCUCCUAUAAAAAUCUCCACCUAAUCAUCUAAAGAAGAGCCAGCAUCAUUUUGAUAUUUAAGCAGGAAUAACCUCCUUUUAAUUUCAAGAGUCUAUUCCCUUGUUUUUAUUCCUGUGACUAAUUGAUCAUGCAUUCCUUUCUGAUAAAUGCCCGUUAGUGUGGUUGGUGGCAAGAAUCAAUGAAACCAUAAAUUGCACAUAGUUUGUGAUGAUUCCUCCCUUUGCAGUCAGUCUGGGAGACAAAAUUCCUUGGCAGUGCAGUGUGUCAGGGAAUGAGAAUGCCUUUGUUCUGGGGAGAGCCACAGCAUCACAACCACUUCAAAGGCAGAUACAGAUGAAGGGAGGGGGUGAAAGCUGUGAUCUGGUGUCACACAGCACUCCCUAGCACUGUGAUGCAAUGGUGGAGGUAGGUGAGAAAGAAAAGGGUCAAAUACCAUCCACAAAACAACCCAAACCCAUAUGCCUCCAGUAAAAUGUGCAUUCAGUUUAAUUAGUUUAAUUUUGUUGGAAAUAAUGGAAAAGAAGCAACAGUUGCAUUAAAGAACAAAACUUGUCUUACACCCAUGGUGAGCUGGAGUAGAGAGGAAUUCAGCAUCAUCCCUGAAAGUGUUGGACAGGGCUUGGAGCACCCUGGAAUAGUGGGAGGUGUCCCUGCCCAUGGCAGGGGUGGAAUGAGGUAAGCUUUCAGGUCCCUUCCCACACGAAUCACUCCAUGAUUCUAUGAUCCAUCCCAAGGUUUAUCCAUAUGAAUUGAUGUUUUGUUGCUGCAGCAGCUCCCUGGCAACUCUGAGAACCCCAGCACCCAAAACAACUCACAGGGAAACCUCUCUUGGCCUUGCAAUCAUCAAGGUGAACAGCAUAACAGUGGCUCCUUGUGAAAUACCCUCUUGCUCAUUCCUGCUGCUUGGCUGGAGGUGCCUGGAACCAGCCUCAUCUCCCAGGCUUUUUGUCAGGCUGCAGCAGAGCUGGUUGUUGGUACCAAAAAAUAAAGAGAUUCCCCUGUGCUUUAUUGCCAGAGCAGCCCCUUGCUCCUGCCAGCACGGCUGCAGCACCUCGUGGUUUGCAGCUCCAGGCAGAAGGGGCUUGUUGAUGGUCACUGGGCAGCUCCUCUGUGUCCUGGGGCAGGGGAAGGUCAGCCAAGAGGAUCCCAUGGCUAUGAGGGGGAAAAACAGAAAGGAAAAGAGGAAAAAUAAUACAACAGAAAGGCCAAAUCCACUCUUGCCUGGUAAGUGUUGUCUUGGGAUCUCUAACACCACUUGGGGCUCCAUGGAGUGUUGGCUGCAUGAACUUCCAGUGUUCUACCACAGAAUUGAAGUUGAGCUCCUGAAGGCAUUUCCUGAACUACUGACUCAAAAGAAAGUACGUAACUUUUUUUUUUUGUCAUCAAGAUUUUUCUCUUACAUCUUUCUCAUUCCCUAGGUUCAAUAUAUCUAAUGUAAAACUUGACAGGAACACAGAAUAUUGCCCAAAGGUAUUGGCUAGUGAUGAAAUAUCAUCCACUGCCUUUUUCUCUCCAAGAAUUUGCAGGUUAGACUGGUGCACAUAUACAGAGUGCUCUGAUAAACUGCUGUGCUGGUUUGGGCUUAUGUAGUGAUGCUGGUUUUGCAUUAAAUUUUUAAUGUGUUCUCUAUGUAAUUAUGCUCUAUGUGGUAUCAUGUUAUUUCCAACUUGGAUUGCUUCAAUCAUUUAAUGAAGGUAGUGAAGAAAUUCUAUUUGCAACUGUCUUCAAAAAUCGAGACAAGUGUUUGCUCCUACUAAUGAACCCUGAUAUAAUAUCACCUAUGAGACACAAAUUCUAUCACUAGACCAAUGUUCAAGUCAGUGACAAAAUCAAAGGGUGUUUACAAAAGAGGUUAUUCUGAGUCUGUGUCUCAGGAAUAUCAAAUAAUAUUUCAUAAACAGACAGCAUUUCUAAUUACAAGUUUAUCCUGGGCCAUUGGUUUUUAAAAGACCUUUUCUGGGAUUGACAAAUGAGGGAAAAGAGCAGCCAGCUGCCCAGAAAGGGCUGAGAUUGGCUCUGCCAAUCUCUCACCCUGGGGAGACCACAUUUACUGGGUGCUUUAUGAGGAGCUCAGGCUUUGCAGGAAUUCAUUAUUUAUUUAUUUAUUUUCCUGCUAAGGUUUCUGUAAGUUAAAAUAGGAAUGUUUCUCCCAAAUUUAUUAUGUCACAAUCAAAACUUAAACUCAAGUUGCUGGUAGAAGGGAGGUUCUUCACACCUGAGAAGAAGUGGAGGGGUGAAUUUCAGACAUGUGUUCGUGGGUCUUCUGCAAUCCUCAGUUAUUUUUAGGUAGUGCCUGCCAGAGGACCUUGCUGACACGUUCAUUUGAUGAUGAUAACUCUUAGAUGAGUUUCCCAAGCAAAAAGGCAAUGGCUGUGCUGCUUCCCUGUCUCACUAAAGGCAAACUGGGUGCUUAAAGGAUGAGUAAAAUGGAACAAAUAUUUGAAAUUUGUAAAUACGAGUGAGAAGAAAUUAAUUAUGUAAAGUAAAAAGACAAUUAGCAUGACAUUAAGUAAAAAAGAAGUGUAAAUUUUGUAUUAUAAAUAACUUCAUAGAUGGACAUAUCAGGCUAUGACAAAAACCAGUCAGAAGUUUCAGCAGAUGAAAGGCUGGAGGAAUUGUUGCUACGAGCCAACAUUUGAUAGCUUGUAUGGGAAUUUGGAAGACAAACCAGGGAUAUACUAUCAGCCCAUUGUAGUGCUGGACUAAAAGGGCUCUUGAUAGGUUUUUUCAGAAGUGAAUAAAAGUGGGAGGCAAACUGGCUUGCCAAGAGGAAUAGUUAACAAUUAAUGACAAAUAGCUUUGCUCUUUGUAGGCUUUACAGAUGCAAGGAUGGGACAAACAUUUCUUUGGCCCUGAUUCAGCAGGUUCACAGGGGUCACACAAUUCACAGCAAAAAGCUCUGGCCUGACCUAUGGAGAGUGAUCUGCUGGAGAGCCAUGGACCACAGGAAAGCCUUUGAUCUCUGUGUGUGCCUGCCAGUUGGCCACUGCUGUGUCAUAAAUGCCUCUGCUGUCAGUGGGAAAUGUGAGUGUGAUAAAGGAGAAUUUCAGAGCCUGCUGUAUGCAGAGCUUCAGCUUCCUUCUGCCUCCAGAAUGUUCUGUGGCUCCAGAACCAGCUGGAUGGUCACACUUCUCUGUACUUCGCCACACAUCACAUGGAGAAACGAGCAAAGCCAAACUCAAAGACCCUCAGACAGAUGGAUUAAAUAAUUUGUGGCCACAGAACAUUUCCUCUGGCUUCCGAAAGAGACUCUUGUCAUUUCUAGGGCUGCCUCAGCUGCCAGCAGUGGUGGCUGUGUUGUCCCAGUACUGCCCACAGUCCAGCUGGAGUCCAGCUUGCAGCAAGGAAAAGAUUGGAAGAAUUUCUCUGAGGAGCUGAGCAGUGAGGAAGAAGAGGUGCAAAACUGAAGGCCAAGAUGCUGCAGCAGUCUGAUUUCUGAGAUCUUGCAGAGAGCUGGUUCCUUGGAAAGAAGAGCUAGACCUGACAGCCCUGGACUUCAUUGAAGACGUGAGUAUUCUGGUCAAGUAUGAGUUAGACACACUUAUGGACAAGUGAAAAAGUAUUGGGGUUUACUUAGUUAGUUAUUGAUUGAUUGAUUUUUGUGAGUUGUUCACUGUUUGCUAAACUGCCUUCCACACUGAUUUGCCUUGUGGCUCUCUGUGACUGGUUACACCAAAGGAUAGGCAAGAAGACCACUGGUGUUCUUUCUUGCAUAACAGCAGCCUGAACCAUGAAGGAAGGCCCCAGCAUUUUUGAAAUACAGUCCCAAGCUGACCUGGUGCUGGAAUGUCUUUCUAUUGCACAGCACCAUGGCAAGCUGCUCUGAGGUGGAGCAAUUUUCUCUGUAGCUCUCCAGGAGCAGGAUAAACCACAUUUAUUUUUCACACCACAUAAGGAUUUAUGGGAAAUAUUGACGUGGUUGUGUCUGCCUGUCAAGGGUACAACAGCAGCUUCAGCAAUUUUUUGGCACAACUCUUUAAAAUCCAACUGUUUACUGACUUGUCAUCUCUGUCUUACAGUAAAAAAAGGGUAAGUUUGUUUUGCAUUUCAGGGAUCUAUUCAGAUAAUCUCAUCUCCUUAGUUAUGAAUAAAAUGAGGUGUGAUUUUCAUGUGUAUAUUUUCAAACUGCAGAUUUUUCAGCUUUUUUUUCAGCCUGUCCUUCAUCUUCCAAGGGCAAUGCCUCCAGCUCAUACAUUGAUUUAAUAUUUUUAGGGGUUUUUAUAGCAAUGUUCUUUCCAUAACAGGUACAGAAAUCUGAGCAUACAUCCCUGUGUACUGUGUAUUGCAUUAUAAACACAAACUCAUUUCUCUGGGCAUUAAAUUCAGUUUACAAAACAGUGUUCUUACUGCAGCCAGGACUGCCAAGUGAAAUAUUUCUGUAUUUACUGCUCUGACAGCCUGGCAGUUGGAGUAGGAUGGCUGGAAGCAAAGCUACAGCAUUUACCUUUGUUAAACAGCAAGGGCUUGAAAGAGAAUUUUAUACACUAAAGGCCUAGAAAGGGUUGAAAAAAGAGGACUGAGGGUCAGGGUGAUAAAUGUCUGAGUGGCUUAUUAUAAGAACUUGGGAAGAAAUAGAGGAAAACCAAAAAUUCAGAUCAGCCUCCAAGAUAAAAUCCUUGGGGAGAGGUGCAAAUGCUGGAAAAUGAGACUGGGGCUAAAGCAGGGAAAUGAAAGAACCAAAGAAAGCCUUUGGUUUUGCUCUGUCAAAGCUUUUGCCUUUUAUCCAGUCAGCCUAAAUAACUGUGGAUAGUCUGUCAGUAAUGCUGUAAUUCUAAUGAUCACCUGAAUUUUCAUGUGAAAUAGUUUCUGGUUUUCAUUGCUGAAAAAAGCAUGUAUUAAAAAUAUUUAGGCUUAUUUAAAGCCCUGCCUAGUUUCUGAAGGUGCACAUUGGUAAAGGUACAAUUCCAGUCCAUGGUGGUUGUCCUGCCCUUGCCCUGUCCUCUCCUCCCUCCCAACAAUUCAACCCCAAGAGCUUCAGGAGACAGAGCUUGGGUUUGUUUUCAUUAGGCAGAAAGGCUUAAGGGAGGUUUUUCUACAGUUCUUUACAGCUAGAGGAUGGAAGGAAUCCAGCUUGACUUUCAGAUCCCAGAUUUCAGUCUGUAGUCCUAGUAAUAAAUAAGAAAAAUUUAAAAAAAGGGAAAAAGAAUCCCCCUGUAAACUGAGCAUACAUUAUCAUUUCCUAUGGAUUCCCAGGGCAUUAUGAAACUCCACCAGGCCAGCUUCCAAGUGUCCAACUGGAACUGCCCUGGGAAAAAGCUGUCACUGACAGGAGUCAGUGGAGCUGAAGGCUCUGUGCACAAUGGGCCCUGUGGGAUCAGGUGCUGUGCAGCCCCAGCUUUAUGUUUUCCACCACUAUGGAUGGGCAGUGCCAGGAUGAGUGAAGCUCUCCCCUGCAUUUUAAGGUCAUCUAUUAAGAGAGAAUGUGGAUUUGGUAAAUGACAGAAGAAGGGACCCCAGGGAGAGGCUGCUGUGAGCUCAGCACGCAUUCCCACUGCCAGAACUGUGUCAUAUUUCAUGGCUUUUUCCAGGGAUUUGCUGUGAAGAAGAAGUCUGUGACGGCAGCCACAGGCAGGUGUCAGCAGCAGAGGGCCAGGUGGUGCUGGAAGGGUCCUGUCUCCAGAUCUGUCAUCACCCAGGCUGCAGGACAGCUCUCUUCCUUCAGGGAAACUUCUGUCACUAUCAGAGGCAGGAUCCUGCAGAACUCACUGAGGGGAUUAGGGAACCUGCAGAGGCAUAAAGGGGAAAUUGUCAUGGAGCUUAAACCAAAGCUGGAGGUGACCAUGGGACCUACAGAGUAACUGCUCUGGGGGUUGCCCUGGGCUCCAGGGAAGCAUCUGUGACACCCCUGUGUCCCCUGGGACAGUGAGCAGCCUGUGUUAAGCUGGACUUCUGCUGGAAAGGGAUGCGAUCUCAUCCAGCAGGAGGGAUGUUUGUUUCUGUGAGCCUCAUUGGAGCCGAGACAACCCACUCAGAACAUGAAAACAUGGAGGCCACAAGUCCUGAGGCACCUUCAGGAAACACUUCAGCUGUCCUCAAUGCCUUCCCUCUCCAAAGCCUCUGCUUGGCACAAAGGCGCCACAUCUGACCUGAAAAGAGCAAAACAAAGAUGAUCAUCAAGUCUCCUUGGGUUCAAUGACCUGCCAGUCAGCUUAGCUAUGAUGUGGAUAAUUCUGAAUAUGAACACAGCCCCCCUAACGCUCCCCAUCCUGCAGAUAAGAAGUGCCAGCCUGGAUGAAGGAUAAAUAAGCUCGUCAUUAAGCUAAUGAGACCCAUAUGCUUGUGCAGUCAAACAGAAGUGAACUAAAUGCAUGUAAGAGCCAAAAAGCAGAUGAAUGAACCACGACAGACAUCCUGAAAUCAUGUUUAAAAUGCAAAUAUUGAUAUUUCUCACGCUUUUCUCCCAUAUAUAAAUCACAUCUAAAUAAGGUGUCUGGUAGAAGAGAACAUAUUUUGCCUUUGAGCUCAGAUGCAAACGAAGCAAACACAACUUGAGAGAAUACCUAGAGGCUGCUGUGAUUCCUGGAGACCACAGACAGUUGGAAGUCACAAACCAGACUUGCCAUCAUGAUGGAUGCUGAGCCUGAAAGUCAUUUAUAUGCAAAUCUGCACAAAAUAAUCAGAGGGGUGUUUUUUUUUUUCUAAAAAUGCAAACCACACAUUUUUCUCCUGCUAUCAAACUGUAAAUGUUGGGUGUGGGGAAUCCAGAAAUAGUUGCAGUCAGAAAGCACUUCAUUACCAGAGAAAUUAUCCUCUUUCUUCUUUCCAUGUUACUUGUACAGAAGAGAAAAAAGAAAAGAGAAACAAACCAGCAGCAUUAAUGAGCUUGCUAUUAUUUUUCAGUGAAGCUGUAACUCAGGGAAAACUUUUGCUGCUUUGUGAAAGGUUUGGGCUACCUGUUGCAAUGCACUUGCUCUGUAUUGCUGCUGGAAUUGACAUUUAUUGCUUUGUAGGUCUGCAAGAUCAACCCACCUUUUUCCACCGUUUAAUCAGGCAAAUUAUGUCUUAUACAUAGUGCUGGCAGAGGGCUACGAGCUUCAGGCUUUCCCCCUGGGAAAAUGUGCCAAAAUCCCUCUCCUUGCCUUUGAACGUGCCCCUUGGAGUGAAUGGAGCUCCCAGCUGAGUUUGUAUGGGUUAGAAGCAGCCACUCUGCCUGUGAGAGACUCUCAUUAUGCCAGGCAUGGUUGUGAUAGCACAGGCCCAGGGGUGCUGCUGCUUGUGAUUGAGAUUUGAAUUGUGAAUUUGGGGCCAGUAGGCUUUAAGGCCUCUUCCUACCCCAAACAUUCUGUGAUUCUACAAUAUAUCACAUGCCUGGGUUAUGGGAGCAAGCUGAGAGUGCUAAAUAAUGUUUGGCUCAAGGGCAGUCAGACGUGUUUUCUUAUCUGCUUUUCUUCUCAUAUAUACAUAUUUUUGCCUUUUGCCAAUAUUCUUGUUUUUCUGACCACCCUUUCAGGGAACCGAAAAAAAAGAGACACCCUUUAUCUUGGAUUCCUUUUGGACUAUCUUCCUGAAAGGCAAAAAGCUGUGAAUGCUCAUCAGAUUGAGUUCAACUGCCAGUGCCCCCUCAGCUGGCGGGCUGAGCUGGGCAGCAGGUACAGACACACUGUCAGAAACAGACUCUACACCCAGCACCCACAGUAGCAAGAGAUGGAAAUGUUUGGAAAAGACAGAUUUGGGUUUCAGCCGAGCAGAGAUUUUCACAAAACACAGUUUCAGGCUGGUAGCCCAGAGUUUACAGACUUUCUGCAUGUUGAAGUGGGAAGGUAGAGCUUUAAAGCUAUGAAAUGAUGAUAACUCAGCUCAAAAUGGAGAAAAUGAGUGUAGAAAGGGGCUGUGCUGGUUAGCACCAGCUAGGGACUUGGCUCCCAGCUCCUCUGUAUGAUCUGAUUGCACAAGUUGUUGUUGUGGUUUGUGUUUGUUUUGUUUCUAUCUCUGCUGUUCUGGGAUUUGACCACAUUGCAACAUCUCCACCUUGGUGCCUGCUGCAAAGGGCUCCUUGUGGUCCACAGCGCUCCUCUGAUCACUGAUAUAUGACCCAGCACGUGGGAUUAGGGAAUUGUGACCUAAGUGUUGCUUAUCAGGCACUUCUCCAGCCAAGUGUGGCACUAUCCCGUGCUGGCAUUGGCUGCCAGGUGAUUACAAGCCACUAAUGACAAUUUCCUUCCCUCAGAUCGUAUCGUAAAUGCAUUAAUAGAUCCCAGCAGUUGUUCAUAUCUUGCAUAGCAGGUGAAAGGAAAUCCCCCUCCUCUAGAUUAAGUGAAUUAAGAUGGGAAUGUCAUUCCUGCUUUACAAAGACUACAACAAAAGCUUUUUUAAUGGUUCAGGAUAGAGGGGAAUAGUUCCAUUUUCCUGUUUCUUCUCACGCAUCAAAAAGGUUCAGUUUGGGAGCUCAUAUUAACCAGCCUCAUGAAGUGCACCAUAUGUUUUAGUCUUUUUUAAUUACUGUAGCCUUUACAGCCUCAGCUAAAUGUCAUACUUAGUGCUUUGUUUUACAAUUAAAUCUCUCCUUUGGGGAGAUCCUGAAAUCUUUUUCUCUCAUCGUCUGUGCAGUGUAAAGGAGAACUGCAAAUUUACAUUACUCUAGGCAAACAACAGUUCUGUUUGGAAAAUAAACUUUAAACUAUUAUUAUA